CAAACAAUAACACGAUAGUACAGUACGAGGGUACGGUGUGGCACGCGCACGUGCUCGUGUGUAGGAUAUACUGAGCGCAGGGUGGUCGCUUUAAUCCGUUUAUUUUCGAAACUUUGUGCAUCCUCAUGACAAGAAGUAAGAAAUUAGUCUCUGAGGAAUCGCUGGCACAUGUAAUUUGGGAAGGCCUCAUUGCCAGGUGAAUGUACUGCCGUUGCUGCCUACAUGAACGUUGAGGCUGGCUAGCGUCAUGGUGCGAGUGGACUGACAGAUGAAUCUCUAAAGUGAAGAGGCUUUUACGUCAUAAGUAGCACAGACCUCCUCAUAUGAAAGCUGUGGGUAUGCCCCAGGAGAAU